GGGGAAUAUUGCGCAAUGGGGGAAACCCUGACGCAGCAAUACCGCGUGAGUGAAGAAGGUUUUCGGAUCGUAAAGCUCUGUUAUUGGGGAAGAAAAAAAGACGGUACCCAAGAAGAAAGCCACGGCUAACUACGUGCCAGCAGCCGCGGUAAUACGUAGGUGGCAAGCGUUAUCCGGAUUUACUGGGUGUAAAGGGCGAGUAGGCGGGAUCAUAAGUCAGAUGUGAAAUCUGGGGGCUCAACCCCCAAACUGCAUUUGAAACUAUGAUUCUUGAGUGAUGGAGAGGCAGGCGGAAUUCCCGGUGUAGCGGUGGAAUGCGUAGAGAUCGGGAGGAACACCAGUGGCGAAGGCGGCCUGCUGGACAUUAACUGACGCUGAGGAGCGAAAGCGUGGGGAGCAAACA
rnacentral:rRNA from 2 species